UUCACCAGAGCAUUUUCUUCUGAAAAUCCUUUGUAGCAGAUUCUAUUAGCUUCAGGUAACAGGCAAUUAUGUGCUUUAAGAGAGAACCCCUCUCCCAGGAAGUGAACGUGAUUGGCACACCAACUGGGGAGUAACACAGGCAUGUGGAGAAUUUCUCAGAGUAUUUCCGCAGCAACCAACUGGCAUGAAGAAUACUUUGCUGAAACAUGGGGUUCAAAAGCAGCCCACAGCUCUCUUUCAGACCUCUGAAGUCACACCCAGUGGUCUAGUCAACAUUUCCUCUUGCAGAGAUUGUAAAGGUUUCAAUCUUAACACCAUGUGACUAAUUCGGUCUCUAUGAUCAAAGCCUUAUAAGAAAGAAUGACUGGUUGACCCGACAUGGACCAAGUGACCGUUCUUGUUCCCAGUGUGUUGUGGGCUAAGAAGAGAUGGGCACAGAAUGAUGGGAACGCAGAGCGAAAGGGCCCAACUCUACCAGGAGGGGAAGAUAAAAACUCCUGAAGAAAUUAUACAAAAAUAGAAUACUUACAACAGAAUUCUCAACAUCAUUUUUCCCUGUUUGAAUCCAGCAAGUCAGCCAUUGGUCACUUAAGAGCACUAACCCCUCCCUGGUUUGAAGAUGUUCUUGACUUUAAAUACAAACAUCUGAUAUUCCAGCUUAGACUCCUCCACAAGAACUAGAGUGUCAUCCUAUUUUGGCUUCCAGCUCAGUCCCUCUGCUACAAGUCUUGACUCCAGAACUCUGUGGGAUAAUAAAAUACAAGAUCAUAGCUUGAAAAUAGAGCGUGCAUCUGGUGUGGUUUGUUGUUUUGGCUUAAUUAGGACUUGCCGUUUCCUGAAUUCCUGUAAUCUCAUUUGAUGAAUUGUGUUGGUUACUUGCUCUGCAGGCUUUGAGCAUGUGGCACAUAUCAGAGGAAAUGAUUUCCCCUUUCUUCUUUGAAAAUCAUCUUCUGGUGCAUUAAAAAAAGAAAGCCAAUGUUUUUGGAUUUCUUUAGCUGUCCAUAGAAUUAC
rnacentral:lncRNA from 10 species